rnacentral:siRNA from 1 species
UGCAUUAUAUCGCAGAAACCCUA